rnacentral:rRNA from 1 species
CAUGGCGCUGCUACCAUGCAGUCGAACGUGAUCCGCCCUUCGGGGUGGUGAAAGUGGCGCACGGGUGAGUAACGCGUGGAUAAUCUGCCCGAGGAUUUGGGAUAACAUCUCGAAAGGGGUGCUAAUACCGAAUAAGCCCACGGGGUCUACGGAUCUUGCGGGAAAAGGGGGGGACCUUCGGGCCUCCUGUCCUUGGAUGAGUCUGCGUACCAUUAGCUAGUUGGUGGGGUAAUGGCCUACCAAGGCGACGAUGGUUAGCUGGUCUGAGAGGAUGAUCAGCCACACUGGAACUGAGACACGGUCCAGACUCCUACGGGAGGCAGCAGUGGGGAAUUUUGCGCAAUGGGGGAAACCCUGACGCAGCAACGCCGCGUGGGUGAUGAAGGCCUUCGGGUCGUAAAGCUCUGUCUGGAGGGAAGAAAUGAUUGGGAGCUAAUACCUCUUGAUCUUGACGGUACCUCUGAAGGAAGCACCGGCUAACUCCGUGCCAGCAGCCGCGGUAAUACGGAGGGUGCAAGCGUUGUUCGGAAUUAUUGGGCGUAAAGCGCGUGUAGGCGGUCUUUUAAGUCUGAUGUGAAAGCCCCGGGCUCAACCUGGGAAGUGCAUUGGAAACUGGGAGGCUUGAGUACGGGAGAGGAGAGUGGAAUUCCUAGUGUAGGAGUGAAAUCCGUAGAUAUUAGGAGGAACACCGGUGGCGAAGGCGGCUCUCUGGACCGAUACUGACGCUGAGACGCGAAAGCGUGGGUAGCAACAGGAUUAGAUACCCUGGUAGUCCACGCCGUAACGAUGAGUACUAGGUGUUGCGGGUAUUGACCCCUGC